rnacentral:rRNA from 1 species
GGUGACGCAUGCAGAAAUGCAUGUUCUCUUCGGAGCACUGGAGACAGGUGGUGCAUGGUUGUCGUCAGCUCGUGUCGUGAGAUGUUGGGUUAAGUCCCGCAACGAGCGCAACCCUUAUCCUUAGUAGCCGGCAGGGAAAGCUGGGCACUCUAGGGAGACUGCCAGGGAUAACCUGGAGGAAGGUGGGGAUGACGUCAAAUCAUCAUGCCCCUUAUGAUUUGGGCUACACACGUGCUACAAUGGCGUAAACAAAGGGAAGCGAAGUGGCGACAUGGAGCGAACCCCAAAAAUAACGUCUCAGUUCGGAUUGCAGGCUGCAACCCGCCUGCAUGAAGCCGGAAUCGCUAGUAAUCGCAGAUCAGAAUGCUGCGGUGAAUACGUUCCCGGGUCUUGUACACACCGCCCGUCACACCAUGGGAGUCGAUAACGCCCGAAGUCAGUGACCCAACCGAAAGGAGGGAGCUGCCGAAGGCGGGAUGGAUAACUGGGGUGAAGUCGUAACAAGGUAGCCGUAUCGGAAGGUGCGGCUGGAUCACCUC